rnacentral:rRNA from 1 species
GAGGAUUGUAAUAGCUCUCAGCAACUCUCACAUGGUCGCCCACUGAAGCUAAGCAGGGCUGCGCCUGGUCAGUACCUGGAUUGGAGACCACAUGGGAAAGUAGGUUGCUGUCGGAA